rnacentral:rRNA from 1 species
GGGCACUCUAAAGAGACUGCCGGUGUCAAACCGGAGGAAGGUGGGGAAUGACGUCAAGUCCUCAUUGGCCUUUAUGACCAGGGCUACACACGUACUACAAUGGCCGGUACAAAGGGCAGCGACACAGCGAUGUGAAGCGAAUCCCGAAAAAGCCGGUCUCAGUCCGGAUUGGAGUCUGCAACUCGACUCCAUGAAGUUGGAAUCGCUAGUAAUCGCGGAUCAGCACGCCGCGGUCGAAUACGUUCCCGGGCCUU